rnacentral:rRNA from 1 species
UACAGAGGGUGCAAGCGUUAAUCGGAAUUACUGGGCGUAAAGCGUGCGUAGACGGUUAUGUAAGUCGGGUGUGAAAGCCCCGGGCUCAACCUGGGAAUUGCAUUCGAGACUGCAUAGCUAGGGUGCGGAAGAGGGAAGCGGAAUUUCCGGUGUAGCGGUGAAAUGCGUAGAUAUCGGAAGGAACACCAGUGGCGAAGGCAGCUCGCUGGGACGUGACUGACGCUGAGACGCGAAAGCGUGGGGAGCAAACAGG